GGCAACGUGGCGGAGUGGUUAACGCGCUAGCCUAGAAACAUAUGUCAAGCUAGUUCCUUCGGGAGCGUCAGUUCGAGUCUGGCCGUUGUCG
rnacentral:tRNA from 2 species